UACGUAGGGAGCUAGCGUUGUCCGGAAUCAUUGGGCGUAAAGCGCGCGUAGGCGGCCCGGUAAGUCCGCUGUGAAAGUCAAAGGCUCAACCUUUGAAUGUCAGCGGAUACUGCCGGGCUAGAGUCCGGAAGAGGCGAGUGGAACUCCUGGUGUAGCGGUGGAAUGCGCAGAUAUCAGGAAGAACACCAACGGCGAAGGCAGCUCGCUGGGACGGUACUGACGCUGAGACGCGAAAGCGUGGGGAGCGAACAGG
rnacentral:rRNA from 1 species